CCAGACUCCUACGGGAGGCCGCCGUGGGGCAUCUUGCACCAUGGGGGACCCCCUGAUGCAGCGCCGCGGCGUGCGUGCCGAAGUAUUUCGGUAUGUAAAGCUCUCUCAGCAGGACCGCGACAAGACGGUCCCUGCCUAAGAAGCCCCGGCUAACUACGUGCCCGCAGCCGCGGUCCUACGUAGGGGGCACGCGUUAUCCGGCCUCACUGGGGGUAAAGGGAGCGGAGACGGCUGGGCAAGCCUGAAGUGAAAGGCGGGGGCCCAACCCCUGGACGGCGUGGGGAACGGUACGGCUGGAGGGCGGGAGAGGUAAGGGGAAUUCCUAGGGGAGCGGUGAAAGGCGGAGAUAUUAGGAGGAACACCAGUGGCGAAGGCGGCCUGCGGGGAGUUUACUGACGCGGAGGCGCGAAAGGGGGGGGAGCCAACAGGAGGAGAGCCCCGGGUA
rnacentral:rRNA from 1 species